CAGAAAUAUGGUCAUUGUUAUAUUAUAGUUCGUUUCUGUGUGUGUUACAUUUUAAUGUUGUAUUUCUGUUGUGUCGUAGUUAUCCUCUUAUAUUUUAUGUGUUUCCCUCAGUUUUAGUUUGUAACCCGGAUUUGUUUUUUUCUCAAUCGAUUUAUGAAUUUCGAACAACGGAUACUACUGUUGCCUUUAUUUAUUGCCGGUUAUGUAAAAGAAUUUAGUUGUCAAUAUUCUUACACAUCACAUGCUCUACUUGAUUGUUGGGUUAGUAAAUAGAUCAAUAACCUUGAACUAUAUAUUGGUCAUGUUUGUUUACAAAAUUUUAUUUAUAUAUAGAUUUUAAAUUGUUAACAAAAAGUCGGUCAACAUUCUAGAAAAUAAACUCAUCAUAGAUACCAGGACUAAACUUUGUAUAUACGUCAGACGCGCGUUUCAUCUACAAAAGACUCAGCAGUGAC
rnacentral:lncRNA from 1 species